rnacentral:rRNA from 1 species
AGCGAACGCUGGCGGCAGGCCUAACACAUGCAAGUCGAACGGACCCUCCGGGGUUAGUGGCGGACGGGGGAGUAACACGUGGGAACGUGCCGUUAGGUUCGGAAUAGCUCCUGGAAACGGGUGGUAAUGCCGAAUGAGCCCUUCGGGGGAAAGAUUUAUCGCCUUUAGAGCGGCCCGCGUCUGAUUGGCUAGUUGGUGAGGUAACGGCUCACCAAGGCGACGAUCAGUAGCUGGUCUGAGAGGAUGACCCGCCACACUGGGACUGAGACACGGCCCAGACUCCUACGGGAGGCAGCAGUGGGGAAUCUUGCGCAAUGGGCGAAAGCCUGACGCAGCCAUGCCGCGUGAAUGAUGAAGGUCUUAGGAUUGUAAAAUUCUUUCACCGGGGACGAUAAUGACGGUACCCGGAGAAGAAGCCCCGGCUAACUUCGUG